GGCCGUGUGCCCGAGUGGUUCAGGGGCUCGCCUGCAAAGCGAGUGACGUGGGUUCGAAUCCCGCCACGGCCUCCG
rnacentral:tRNA from 1 species